AUUUAUCGACUUCCCCCUCAUUUUUGCUUUUGAGCAAAUAAUGAAUCUUUCAACUAAGCAGAGUGUUAAUAGAGCUAUGAAUCCUUGGGCUCUUCAUCUUCAAAAACUGGGUCUGGAGCUUAAAUGUCCUCUCUGUUUGAAUUUGUUUAAACGACCAUUGUUGAUGCCGUGCGACCAUCUGUUUUGCGAUACGUGCAUAGCCAGAACUGAGUUUGGCUCAGAGUGCCCUAUUUGCAAAGACCAAUCUGCAGAUCGAGGUAAUUUUCAUUUAAUUACUUCUAU